CCUGGAGAAUGGUCAGGUUUGGAAAAAAACAAGAAGGAUGGAUUCAAGGCAGCAAGGUGGGCUGACUGGGGAUUAUGUCUCCCUGCCAGGCUACACAGAAACUAAGCAAAGGUCAUCUCAGCUUAAUAAUCCCCAGUUUGUAUGGGUGGUACCAGCUUUGCGUCAGCUCCAUGAAAUUACUCGCUCAUUCAUAAAACAAACCUAUCAAAAGCAAGACAAGAGCAUUAUUCAAGACUUGAAGAAGAAUUUUGAAAUAGUGAAAUUGGUAACGGGAAGUUUGAUCGCUUGUCAUCGGCUUGCAGCUGCUGUGGCCGGGCCUGGAGGCUUAAGUGGCUCGACACUAGUGGAUGGCCGGUACACUUACCGGGAG
rnacentral:lncRNA from 1 species